rnacentral:rRNA from 1 species
UACAUGUGGGGCAAGCGUUGUUCGGAAUUACUGGGCAUAAAGGGUGCGUAGGUGGCUUGUUAAGUCAGGGGUGAAAGUUUUCGGCUCAACCGGAAAAUGGCCUUUGAUACUGGCGAGCUCGAGUGCGUGAGGGGUAACCGGAACGAGCAGUGUAGCGGUGAAAUGCGUAGAUAUUGCUCGGAAGGCCAACGGCGAAGGCAGGUUACUGGUACGCAACUGACACUGAGGCACGAAAGCGUGGGGAGCAAACAGG